AUUAACCAAGUCUGCAUGAUCUGAUUAACCCAGAUGUUAGAACAUUGAUCCCAGAGAAAGAAGAAACCAUCUGUGGAAUUUACCCCUGGAUGGACCUCUCAGUUGCUUGAUCUGAUGUCCUGAGAAUCCCAGAAUCCAAGGAGAACCCAGCAGCUUUUCACUGAGCGAGGAACUGAUCACACUAAAGUCUCCUGUCCAGUGGUCCCCCUCCCAUAGCCAGAGUUCACAGUCAAGCUGACACCGCUGCCUUCUCAGGCCUAGGAACGGCAGUGGCUUUUCUUCUCAUGUUGCUUCAGGGGACACGGGUUCGAGCCCUGGUCCAGGAAGAUCCCACAUGCUGUGGAGCAACUAAGCCUGUGCACCACAGCUACUGAGCCUGUGCUCUACAGCCUGCAAGCCACAACUACUGAGCCCGUGAUCCACAACUACUGAAGCCCACACACCUAAAGCCUGUGCUCCACGACAAGAGAAGCCACCGCAAUGAGAAGCCUGUGCACCGCAGCGAAGAGUAGCCCCCGCUCGCCACAACUAGAGAAAGCCCGCACACAGCAACAAAGACCCAACACAACCAAAAAUAAAUAAAAUAAAUUAAUUUAAAAAAAGCUUAAAAAUUAACAAUAAAGACUUUAUUUGGACUUAGAGAAGGGCAUUUUUCUUGAUGAAUCAUUUUUAAAUGUUGGGAAAAGCUAAUACAAGGCAGUUCUAAAUAUAAUGGGAGGUUUACUGGGAUGGUUUGUUGGGUAGGUGGUUGUAGGGAUGUAAACCCAGCUUUGAAGACUGGGGGGAGUUUGUUUAGAUGGCAGGGGGUGGUAAGAAAGAAGGGUGGAGUGCUCUUCUAGAUGCAGAAAACAAGAUUACGUGUGCAGUAGUAAGAUGAGCAUGAGGAUUAGGGGGAAAUAAGGAAGUGGGACUGCCUAUCAGGGGCAGUUUAUGUUCAGAGGUUUUGGUAGGCAGAACAAUGGUCUCUCAAAUAUCUUCAUUUCCUAAUCCCUGGACCUGCAAAUAUAUUACCUUAUAUGGCAAAAGGGAUUUGGCAGAUAUGAUUAUAUUAAGAAUCUUGAUAUGGGGAGAUUAUCCUGGAUUAUUCAGGUGAGCCCAAAGUAAUUAGGAUUUUAAUAGGAGGAAGGAAAUAAGGUCAGAGUCAGAGAAGAAGGAGAUGUGACGAUGAAGCAGAGUCACAGGAAAAGAUUUGAAGAAGCUACUUUGGUGGCUUUGAAGAUGAAAAGUGGAGCUGCAAGCCAAGGAAUGCAUGUUGCCUCUAGAAUCUGGAAAAGGCCUGGAAAUGGAUUCUCCCCUAGAGCCUCCAGAAGAGAUGCAGCCCUGCUUGCAUCUUGAUUUUAGCCUAGUGAGGCUUCUGACCCACAUAACUGUGAGAUAGUAAAUUUGUCUUGUUUUAAGCCAGUAAAUCUGUGGCAAUUUUUUACAACAGUAAUAGGAAACUGAUAGAGGCAUAGUAGGAGACAGAGGGUGCUGGAUUAGGGCAGACCCUGAAAGGUCAGUUGAGAAUUUUCGAUUUUAUCUGAAAGAUAACAAAGAACCGCCAAAGAUUUUUGACUAAAGACUAAGGUAUAAUGAAAAUUAUGUAUUAGGAAGAUGAAUUAGAGGUUAAGUUCAGAAUGAAGACAAGAUGAUGAGUUCUGCAGUACUGUGCAAGGGUGGGUAUGGUGAUAAGACCCCAGAUUAGUUGUGGACUCUAUGAAUUGAUGAGAAGUUUGUUAGGAAGCUGACAACAUGAUGACUGACAGGGUAACCAACAAAGGAAAGGAAGAAGUCAAAUUUCAGAUCCUUAUUGUGUUGUGAAAUGGGCAUAAAUAUAGCACAUAUAAGGAACCUGUUGAUUCUGAGAUAACUUUAAACUCUAAAUUUCAAUAUGAUUGAAUAAUAUGUGUAUAGAUAUAGAUAUAAUACAUAUAUACACACACAAAAGAGAAUUAAAUGUAAUUUAGAAACGUGUAUGCAUUAUUUUCCUUGAAGUUCCUUCUUGGAUUUAGCAAGGUUUAUUACCCCCCAACAAUUGCAGAAAACCCACAGUAUACAACUUGUGGCUGUUUUAGGCAUGGGGAAAUAAAGCAGUUGAAUUUAAAAAAUAUAUAUAUAUGUAUAAGAAAUUAUAAUUUGUUUCUGUUUUUUCAAGUGUCAUUGUCUUUUUAGAGGAUAUGCAGACCUCGUUUGAUCAUUUCUGCAUUAGUGACUGCUUAUUUAGUAAAAUGAAAAAGGUACAACUUGAGUAGUUAGUAAACCAUUCAUAUUUUGCACAACAACAAGAAAAUAAUGCAAACAACCUCCAAAAAAUUUGAGCUGGAGAGGAGUCAUAGGUCAAACACAUGUAAAGGGUAGUGACGGUGGCUGAUAAGGUCAACCAUUCACUGGCUGUAAAGUGGUUCAGAAGUUGCCACUGUUUGUAUUAUUGGCCCUUUUCACACAAAGCUUCACCCUAUCUGCCUUCUCUUUCUUUCACCCUUGCAACUUUUCCCUCUCAGUCAGUAACUGGUAAAAAAGAUCUGACCACGGGUUAAUCAUUUGGAAAAUCUUAGAAAAUGCUACGAUUCAACCUUUUUUCUAAAUUGAACGUAACUUUGCAUCUCCACUGUGUUUGUCUCUCCUGAAAGAUAUCUAUUUAUGCACAAGUAACAAUAUGAUAUUUUGCAUUUAAAAAUUUAGUCGGCUGUGUGAUAUUUACAAAGUAAAUGUUCACUAUUCCUUCCUCAAUUUCAAUAGGUUCCUUCUCCUGGGUCUUAACACAGAAACAUCAUUUCGAGACAAGAGGCAACUUCACUUUGCAUUCUUCCCUUUCCUCAUUUUGUAGCAGAAAAUAUCUUGAGUAUCUGACAGCAAGAAAAUGAAUAAUACCCACUCUUGAGCAACCUGAGGGUAGGAACUUUGCAUAUUAUAAAUCAGGUGCCCGAUAGUUACCUCCCUCAAAAAAAAAAAAAAAAAAAAAGAAAAGGAAGGUAGAAGCUAUCAGCAAAGUCCUAAAAUACCACGUAUAUUGUCAAAACAACUUUAAUUUGAAAAGUCAGUUCCACCUUGUAAAGUUUUCAGCACCGCUCCCGCCUAACAUUGGGGUGGAAGGUUUUGAAACGACAUCAAACGUAAUUCAUAACAAAACCCAAACGCAGAAACUGCUUUCUGUACUCCAACCUGCCCAGAGUACCUGGAGCGCCGGAAAGUGGAUCCGCGCUCCGUUCUCCCCUCCGGGCCGAAGCUCUGCAUGCCUCCCUCCCCACUUUAAGCCCCUAGUCUCGAGUCUCGAGCUCAGGAUAUGCUCAGAGAAAAGCAGGAUCACUCACCGGUGAGGAGCCAGCAGCAGGCGACAGCGAUCCCUGGGCUGGCGCGGCGCCGGGGGUCCAUAGUUGGAGCGGCUGCAGCGCCCGGGGGACGCGCUGGAUCGGAGGGAAGGACUCGGCGAAACCACGCGCUGGAGCCGCGUUGCUCUGGGCCACUCCGCCCGCCGCCGUGGGUCUCAGUCGCUGGCCCCGUUGGCCCCGGCGCCUGGGAGCAGUACAGCGAUUUCCUGUGUUUUCGACCAGCCCCUCUAAGUUCGAUUCACGCUUCUCGCAUCCCAGAGGGAUUGCCACAUCUCCCCGCCGUUCGCACUCUUGGUCUCUGAAAUCCCACUGGCAGCCUCCCAGGCUCUGUCCGAGACAUGGACAAAUAAAGCCAGCUUCGCGGGUCCUUGUUUAGGCUAAAGUCCACGAGCUGCGAAGCAAACCUUAAAGGGACAUCUGCCUUUCAUUGACAGGGUGAUUCCGCUCCCCGCGCCAACUCCCUAAGGUAGUAGGAACGCAGCCGAGGGCCGGACCUUCGGAGGGUGUCUCCAGCCCAGUGGCUCCGCCUUCGCACCCCUCACUUCUCCCGGGGUCUGGGCAAGGAGGGCACUUUCAAAGUGCCGUGCUCCUAGGCCCUUAAAGGGAGGCUGCUUUCCUGGGGUCCGAUUGCGCAGAAGGGAUAGGUCCGUUUAUGCAAGUGAGCAGAUCUGGUAACCCCCGUGCCUCUCCUGUGGACACUUGAACUUCGCUGUCCAGCCUUCUCACACUAAUAGUGGGUGGGGGCGUCCACCCCGACACGCCCCGCUGAGGGCUUGGCUUUCACUUAUGGAGGGUUUCCUUCCUUUAUGGCGAUUCGUGGUCACAGGGAGGCUUUUCUUUGAGAAGACUGUGAUAAGCUGGGGGAAAGGAGAACCAAGACUGGGGGAAAACAAGAAAGAAAGAAAUGCAAGAGGGAAGCGGGAGGGGAAGGAAGGGAGGAAAACAGUCUCGUUAGAAAUGGAAUGUGUGUGGGCAAUUUUGUUUAAUCUGAAUUAGGAUGUUUGUACACUGGAAGUUGAAUCUAAUGAAGAAUUUAGGGCACUGUUUUAUUUCUUGUUGCUACAGACUUUUAUAAGUAAGAGUGCAUUAAUUCGGUUGCAUGUUAUUCCCUCCUUCCUCGCUCCCACUACUCUGGGGAACUGAGAAUUGGGAAGAUAAGUUGGCCCAUCAAAACGCUGGGAGACCCAGGCCACUUAGGAGUUUGCAAUGCUUCCCUUGUCUUGUGAGUUGUACAUCCUUUGAGUCAAGAGCCACAACUACAUGUUAGCUUGACCGAAUACUUGCUGUUUUUAAUAAAAUCAGCUGUGUUUUAGUGGUUUUGAGAAUUUCAAAGAAGGGGAAGGAGUGGAUGAGUGGAUUUGUGUUUACAGGUGGUGGAGGGACUCGAUUCUAUGCAACUCGAUUCGAUUCAAUUCAAUUCAACUAAUUACUAACUGAAAGUUUCUGUCUAGCAGGUCUAGGGCUAGGCAGGACAAGAGUGCCACCCAAAGGAGGACUCAUUGCCUGGAACACAGUACAGGUGACACAGUACAGAGGAUCCAAGGGAAGGGCAGAGAGGAAAACCACAAGGAUGAUUGAAUAGAUUGCCAAAUAGAAGAUUGCAGGGACUAAAAGUUGGAGAAGACACAAUUUUAAAAGUUUAAUGAAGAUCAGAAGUAGGGUGGGCAGAGGUGAAAGGUUGAAGGCCAUCAAAUCUCAGAAAAGGACCUAUCCGCCAAAGAAUUGUUCUUCUAAUUUAUGAAUUUGAAGUGAUUCACUACUUAGUAAGUAUAUUAAAAACCCUGUUUCCCCCUGUUUCUAGCUCUCAUAUUUUCAUUUCUUAGUCCCGUCUUCAAAAUUGCAGAAAUAAGUCUCUAGAAAAAUUGCCUUGUGUUGGGACACUGUUCAGUCCCACUUGGCUUUACUUGGGCUCCUUUGCCUGCAUUCAGUGCUCUCAGUACCCCAGUUUGGCUUUCCAGUCUCUCCAUCUUCAUUAACUUGAUAUCAUCAACGUGCUUCCUGCUGCUCCCCUGUCUGGGAAAGCUCUGCCACAGAAUGCCUUUCCUGUGUAUAUCUCACCUCUCUGUCUCUAGUUUCAUUUAUGUCUUAUGCUUCUCAGUAUGACCCAAAGGGCUUUGCACAAUAAUCAGUAAAUUCUGAUUAAUUGACUUACGCUUAGACAUUAAAAAAUCAUAAUCUUUUCCUAAAAAUAUUUCUCCAAAUUGCUCAGAGUUUUCAAAAACAGGUAAUAGUGUAUGUGUGUGUGUCUAUGUGUGCAUAUACAUAUAUGUACACAUAUAUACACAUGCAUGUAUGUAUAUGGAAUUAUAGAAAAUUGCAGUAUACUAAAUUAUAAAAAAUGAAAAGAGAAAUUGUAAAAUUAUAUCUUAUUGAAAUAAAGUAGGAUUAAAACAUACUUAUAAUCAAGGCUGUAGUUACUGGGAACUUUACCUUUCUUUGGGAGCGUUAAUAAAUACUUUGAAUUUAAAUAUUUUAAAAAUCUCCUCUAAGAUUUACAAACUAAUGGUGAUAACCAGUGCUAUGGCUGAAGUUAAUUUUCAUAUGUGUUAUGAAUCUUAUGGCUAUAUUUAUUGAUCUUCUUCAUGUCAAAUCAAUGCAGAUGUAGAAAAGUAUUGCUGGAGAAGUAAAUUUAGAAUAAGUGUUCAUUUUCUGAAUUUCAAUAAAUCUAAACACAAAUCAGUGUCAGGAAACCUAUUUUCUUAACCAGUUUUAUCCUGACUAACAGAAAGACAUGCCAUUGAGUGAACUGAGACUUAGAGAAGAUAAAAGCUGUGGUCACAAACUAGUAAUUAAAUAAGGUCACUUGAUGGCUAAUGCUAAGCUCUAGACUUUAUACUGUAUACUUUUCGAUUUUAAGUGAGACCUAAUCUGAUCAGAUCUCUUUUAGAGUUUGGAAAUAUGGGUGAAAAUUAAAAGUACACUGAGAGGUUAGAGGCUGAACUGAUUAAGAAUUUGGAAAGUAGAGUCUAUGAAAUGAGGCAAAAGUAAUUGGGGUUACUGACCAAUCUCAAAAAGAGAAACAGAUACUUCAUUCCAAAGUAUUCUCCUUGGAGCUAAUCUAAUAUAAUGAGAACGAUUAUGGUAGGUUCUGGAGUUAGACUGCAUGGAUUCAAGUCCUGGAACCACCAUGGUUCCAGGUGGUAGCUGUGUGAUUUGGGAAGAAUUAUCUAGUAUCUCUAAGCCUCAGUUUUCUCAGAAGGAAAAUGAGGAUGAAAAUAUUGCCUUUUUCUGAAGAUUGUUGUGAAGAUUAAAUGAGAGAAGGCUACAAAGCAUUUAGCACAAUGCCUAAAGUACAGUAAAUGCUUAGUAGAAAUGAAUCAUUCUUCCCAGUAGUAGGAGAAUUAGUAUUAGAUUGACAGUGGAAACGUAGGGUGGGGCCUCUGUGUGGUGGGCUCUAUAGGAAGUGAUGUAAUUGGAUGAGCAUCAGAAAGGGAACUUUAGUGAUUGGCUAAAAACAUUUCCAUCAAUUCCUAUUAUUGUUUCUAGAAUCUUCACCUUCAGAAUAUUUACUUUGGAUUAGGAAAUUAUCUUGAAGAUACCCGUAUAAAAUGGGUAUACCUUAAGAUAUCAGAAACUUUUAUGACAUUAGCAAGGAUUUGCUUUUCAAAUUAGCUGGCUGUCAAAAGAUUAUUCUUAUUAUUUUUUUAACAAGAGAAGAAAAAAUUCAUUAAGGGGUUGGGAAUAAAAGAGAGUCUAGAGUUCUGCUUCUGGUGUAAGCCAGGGUUCUUUGGUAGUACAAUCAUGGAUUCCCAAGGCCACAGCAUAAAUAAGGUAUCCCCAUCUGGGUAGGAGGGUGGUGUCACUUUUACUUAAUAAUAAAUAAUUUUUAAACUACUGUAUGUUAAAAUAACAUUUUUAUAAGAAAAAUACAAAAUGAUGUGUUUGAAAAGUUAAAUGUGAGGUCUCAAAUACAUUUUAAGGUAUCCUCAAAGUGUGCUUUCAUUCUCCCUCUUUGACUCUGAGGAUUCUAGGGUAGGUGGUAUUGUCCUGAGCUGCUUCUGUUUUUACAAAGAUUUCAUGAUGAUUCAGAUUUUAAAAUUUACUAUGUAUGUAUUCAGGGUAACGCACUCCAAGACAAUGAUACUAACUCACGGCGCUAACCCAUAUGGGCAGCUUAAUCUAGUUCAAUAAUUUUUGAGUUCCUGCUAUGUAUCAGACUCCAGGGCUAUGUUCUGCAGAGGCAAAAAUGGGUAGAACAGUUGUUUUUCUACUGAAAAUCUGCUGUCCAUUAAUUUCUUGCACUUGUAGGUAGGAAUAGAAAAUAAGCAGUUUUGUUCUCGAUUCUAACAUUCAUGUGUUUCAUUUUAAGCCUGUUAAAUUAAGCAGUCUUGUGAAAUUACCACAUUAGUUGUUGCUGCUUCAACUUAAGAACCCAUGAUUGCUUCUUCUCUGGCCAAAAUAAAGUUGUAUGUAUGAUGACAAUGAUGUGGGGCUUGAACUUCAUCACCAACCAGUCUUUUUUGUUGUUAUUGUGCAAUGUUCUUGUGUGAAUGUUUUUUCACUUAAAAUAUAAAAUAGGUGUUCCUCCCGCUCUAUUUCCUGGACAAGUCUGUGCUAGAAACCUGGUCCAAAGACAUUUGGGCAAUGGGUACUUAUGAAAAAAGUCUGACUUCAGAAUCCUGGUGACGGACAGAUCUUAACACUGUAGGAAACUUCUCUAAAACUUCUUGGCAGACUUCAACAUAAGUGAGACAGUAAGACUACAGUGGGAGAGGGAAUGCCGGGGUGGUACCCUGGCAAGAAUGUUCACUUUGUGGCACUCUCUGACUCAGAAUAACCAGUACUCAGGAGCAGUAACAUUUUAGCUGUGUUGCUGGAUCCCUUAAUUUGAAAUGUGAGUUAAUUAUAUUUUAAGAUAUUAGGCAAUUCUAGAAUUAUUUGAGCAACUUGAUUUAAAUAUUUUUCUUUAGCCAAUUUCUAAAAAGUUAAAUCAGAGAUGGACUCUAAAGUCCCAGGAUUAUAGCAAGUAAAUGAUAAGUUAGUCAUCAAACCAGGAAGAUAGGUAUUUCUUAUAGUAGGACUGGGUCACUAGAUAUGUAUGUAUAAAAAUAAAUACAUCAAGAGAAAGAGUGUCUAUUAUUUGGCUCUGAAAUAAUAAGUAAAUUAUUUUACAAAUUAUGUGGCUAUUUUUCAUCUGCUUUACUAGACUAUAAUCUAUAUCAAGACAGUCAAUUAGUCAUUUUUAUUGCCUGCAAACAUCUGCCCUCAUGUAAUUCAUUCAUUCCAACAUUUAUGGAAUUAGUUCUGUGCAGCAGGAAGUCUUUUGGGUCCUGCAGAUUCAGAGAUGUUGAAGUGUGUGGCCCUACCCUCAAGAAAAUUCACAAGCUACCUAAAUAUAUGCAUAGAAAGAUAUUUCUAAUUGCAUCUGAUGAACCCUAGAAUAGAGGGUAAAGUCAACGGGAGGAAAAAGACAGAGUUUCAAAGAGAUGGUGGCACUGGAAUUCAGCCUUGCAGGAAGUGGGCAAAGGUUUCAUAGAUGGAAGAGGGGUCAUGGGCAUUCUAGACACAGGCAGCAUGAAAUGGAUGAAUAGAAUGGAAUAGAAGUUAGGAAAGGCAAGUGAGGUUGUGACCAGAUGUGAAAGAAUCUUGGAAGGAUGCCAAGGAAUAUGGAAUUCUUAUAAGCAUAGAAUAUUUUCAUAGUUCUGAGUGACAUAUUCAAACAUGUUUUUUACUCUAUUUUUAUUUUCUUCUCUUAUUUGUUUCCUGAAGUGGCUUCAUUUGAUCUAAUUUUGAAAUAUAUUAGAGGAGAUGAAAUAUAUGAAAACCAUGAAGCACACUGUGAAACUUUUAUCCCCUAAAUUUUUAUGCAGUGCCUUCCUUAAGGAAAUUUAUUGUUAUUUAUUAUCGAUAAAUACAAUUACAUGCACUAUUAGGAUAAAGGUGGACAUUUGUCUGACAAAACAACACGGAUAGCCUAGAAGAGUAAUAUUCGGUGGUUCUUUUAAAGUUUGAAGAAGAUGAAAAUGAAGCCACUUAUCAUGAUGCCUAAGUUUUAAAUACUCCAGUUGGACACCAUAUAAUACGCAUUUAAAUAUUAGUAAAGAUAUACUACCAAUAUUGGCCAUUUUAAUCUUUUUGGUCCCAAAGUAGAUCAGUGGAAUGAAGGCAGCCAUGAACUGCUAAUCAUCCAAGUCUUUGUUCUGUGGGGUGAGGACUGCUUUUAAAGGCCCUGCGCUGAAAGAGGAGGUGUGGGGCUUUUCAUGAAAGAUAGCCAUGACUAGUUGAUCCCCCUCCAGGAAAGGAAACUGUGGGCAGCCAAGAGGAUGGAGCCAGAGAUUUUGAGUUAAAAGCCACUAAAGUUGCCGGGGUAAAGCAAGAAGGAACAGCCAAGUGUGAGUAAGCAAUGAAGACAGAAGCAUUGUGGAGCAAGGUUGGAACCAGAAGGCUUAGAAAAUUCAAAACUAAGGCCAUAAAUACCAGGAUCUGCCCUGAUUUUCUUUCAUUUUGGUCCAAAUGUGCUACAAAGGCACAAGAGUUUAAAGUACCUACUAUGGACUUACGGCUAAAUGUAUCUGAGCCAUAAAAUGUAAUGGGACAAGUAAUUGUAAUAUUAAGUGUAUUAGUAAGGCUAAAAAAGGAAUGAUAAGGUUAAUUAAACAAUUAUAUGUGUAUAUUGCAGGGGAGAAUUCCAUAAUCACUGAAAUGAGGAAACUAUUUUUAUGAGACUAAAUUUCUCUCUCAAGCCCCUAAUAUACAGAGAAGUAAUUCAGUGUUUUCUUCUCUUUUAUUUUUUCCUGGGAAUGACUUUUGAAAGUUUUUUAAAUUUAAUGCUUGCUGAGAAAAAAAAAAAAAGGAAGAAUAUAUGACCAAAAGAAUUUUCCUUUAAAUAAGAUCUACAGAAAGUGUUGAACUCCUUGGAUGAAAAAAGAGUUGUAAAGGAUAUAAGAAUGCAGAGAAAUUGGUGGAUCCUGAGGUGGUGGAACAGGGCCUAGAACGACUACAAAGAAUGUUAAUCUCUUACGAUCUUAUAACUCAUUUUUACAAUAACCACCCUGCCAAAAACAUACAAAUACAAGUAGAAUAAGAUAUUUUGAUAUAAAUUCAAUCUACCUAGAGUAACAAUAUUUAGAUUUUCCUUAUCAUCUCCAUAAUACUUAGUUUUGAGAUUGUUGUAUUUUAUAACACUAGAAGUUACGGAAAGUGAAUCAGAAUUUUCUACUUUGUGGUAAUCAAAGUUAACUCUUCUGAGUAAAAAUGGUAUUUUUAUUCCAUGAAAAUGUCUUAAUGAAAAACUCAUUUUGUGUGAACUAUAGUAAUAGGCAUGUUUGUGCAAUAUUCAAACAAACAAGAAGGGAGAAGUAGUUCUGGAAUUAUAGAGUAAGUGUCUCAGAACUUCUGCUCCUUCAUAAAGGCCAUGAGAACUUUGGCAAAAAUUGUCAAAAUCAACUUAUUCCGCAUUCUAGAAUUAAACAAAGAGUUGCAAUUUUUUUUUUAAUUAAGAAAAACAACUGAACCUUAAAAAAACAGCAAACUCUGUGGCAUGUUAAUUUUCCCUAUUUCCAUCCCCUUCCUCCCAGCUCUGUGGUAUUCUGAAAGCAAAUGGCCUCACAACUAGAGUAACUGAAAAUUGGCAGUCUAGCAGCCACUGUAUGUGGCAGAACAGGUUUGGACCUCCCCAAAAUCCCUAAUCCGAGAGAAUCAUUACUAUUCGACCUGAAUGGCAAUUUCCUGAAAAGUUCCAUUCUCAAGAUUUGUCUUUAUUUGCCUUGAUUCAGAGCUAGCUCUGUGAAAGUAAAACUAUUCCAAAGGCAUUUGUUAAAAAAAAAAAAAUCAUUGGCCAUCGUUUCACACAACAGUGGCUUGAAGCAGCAAUACCAGUCAGGGCUAACAAGAGGCUGAUGAAAAUGCAAAAGAAAAAACUAGAGAAUAAGAUGUUCAUAGAGAACUUUGAAAAAGUUCUACGUAUUUCUGAGAAUAUGGGACAUGUGCUUGUGCAGGUCUAUUUGUAUGCUCCAGAAACACCUGAGAAGACUCUAAUCUCUCACCUCUGGCUGACCUUGAAUCUGUGCAGUCAGGAAGUAAAGGCUAAGGCAGAAUUGUAAACUGCCCAGUGGAGCGUUGAAGAUGCACCCUAACAUGCAGAGAGAGCCCUUCAGCAAAGGCUGGGAGACUUGACGUUUCAAGGUAUUAAACAGAAAUCUGUAUUUAAUCAUUAAGUGACUAUUAAGCUAACCAACCAGAGACUUCAGUAGCCAUAAAAAACAAAGACUUUGCAGAAUUAGAAUUAGUCUAGGAAAAUCACUCAGCAAAUACACACAGCAGCAGUAGCAGCAACAGCAGCAGCAGCAGCAACAAUAACAACAGACCCUAGAAAGUGAGGUAGUUUGCAGAACUGCCAUAUUAUAAUAUUUUAAAUGUCCAGUUUCAACCAAAAAUGACACAAAAACACAGGAAAAAAGCAACAAUAGAAACCACCCCUUAGGAAUCCUAAAUGUUGGACUUCCUAGAAAAAAACCUUUAAAUCAGCUAUAAAAUGUAUUAUUCAAAGAAUCAAAGAAACCGUGUCUAAAGAAUUAAAGUAUGAGAAUGAUGUCUCAUUAAAUAUAGAGGAUCAAUAAAGGAUAGAUAUUAUUAAAAAUUAGGAAUUAUGAAAUUGAAAAAUAUAAUAGCUGAAAUAAAACAUUCACUAAAAGGGCUCAAUAGCAGAUUUGAACUGGCAGAAGAAAGAAUCAGUGAACUUAAAGAGAUUAUCCAGUCUGAGGAACAGAACAAUAACAACAAAUAUAAAAUAAAGAAAAAUAAAUAGAGCCUCAGAGACCUGUGGGACACCACCAAGUGUGCCAACAUACUCAUGAUGGAAGUCCCAGAAGGAGGAGAGCAAGAAGAGAGUCCAGAGAGCGUAUCUGAAGAAAUAAUGCUUGAAAACUUUCAAUAUUUGGUGAAAAAUAUUAAUAUUCAUAUUCAAAAAGCUUGAUGAGUCAAACUAGGAAAAAAUCCAGAGAUCUACACCUUGAUUCAUCAUAGUCAAACUGUUCAAUGCCAAAGAAAAAGAGAGAAUAAAGAAAGCAGCAAAUAAAAGUACAGUAAGUCCCCUACAUACGAACGAGAUCCAUUCUGAGAGUGUGUUCAUAAGUCCAACAAAGUUAGCCAAGGUACCCAACUAACACAAUUGGCUACAUAGUACGGUACUGCAAUCGGUUUAUAAUACUUUUCAAACAUAAUAUAUAAUAAACAAACACACAAAAUAAAGAAAACACUUUUAAUCUUACAGCACAGUACCUUGAAAAGUACAGUAGAACAGUACAACAGCUGGCAUCCAGGGGCUGGCAUCGAGUGAACAGGCAAGAAGAGUUACUGACUGGAGGAGGGAGAGGAGGUGGGAGAUGGUAGAGCUGAAGGAUCGUUAGCAAUAGGAGACGGAGGGCAAGCUGCAAUUUCACUCACGCCUGACAUUAACGGCCCAGAUUCUGAUUUCUUGCUGGAAUCAAUUCUAUCUACCCUCUUGAAAAAACAAUCCAGUGAUAUCUGGGUAGUAGCUCUUUUUUUCUUGUCAUAGAUGACACGGUAACAUUGGAUUACAUUCUGAAUGGCUGCUGCAACCUUCGUGUACUGUUCUACGUUCAGGUCCUGUGCGUCAAAAACUAACAGUGCCUCCUCAAAUAAAGAAAAUCCCCUUGCCAUUUCCUGUGUUGUGAAUCUCUUUGGUUCUUCAGUUACUUCUUCUUCCUCUUUUCUCUCUUUGUCCUUUCUCUGGGCUUCCAAUUCCAUCAGGUCUUCAUUAAUAAGCUCCUUGUGUUGUGCAGCAAGGAGUUCAAUGAAGUCAUCCUCUUGCAGAUCUAGCUCCAGCUUCUCACUGAGGGUCACUAAGUGGUCGAAGACCUCUUUGGACUCCUCAUCCACCUUCUCAAAUCCACAAAAAUAAUAAACAAACUGCAGGCAAAUGUUCUUCCAAACCCCAUCAAUGGUGACGGCCGUAACCUCACGCCAAGCAAAGUCAAUGUUUUUUAUGUCCUCGUAGGUGUAAUAGUCCUUUCAAAAUUGUCACAAGGUUCCUGAUUCAUCACUCGCCUUUACCGCCUGACGAAAAGUGUGAUGUAAAUAACUUUUCUUAAAAGUCCCUAUAACUCCCUGGUAUAUAGGUUGGAUGAGCGACAUAAUAUUCAGUGGCAGAUGCACUGCUUUGACAUUGGGAUGAAAGUCGUCCAUGAAAGGGGGGUGGCCCAGAGCAUUGUUGAGCAGCAGAAGAAUGUUGAAUGGGACGUCCUUUUCCAAGCAAUAUUUCUCUAUCUCCUGGAUAAAGUGGUGGAAAAACCAGUCCUGGAAAAUGGCCCAUGUAACAACCCAGGCUUUGGGGUUAAUCUUCCACACAACAGGAAGAGAGCUCCUGGCUGUGUUUUUAAGGGCUCUUGGGUUCUCUGAAUGAUAAACUAAGAGAGGCUUAGCUUCAUAUCACUGGAAGCAUUGCCACCAAACAACAGAGUUAGCCUAUCCUUUGUUGCUUUAUAGCCUGGCAUCAACUUUUCCUCCUUACUGAUGUAACUUCAGUCUGGCAUCCUCUUCUAGUACAGUCCUGUCUCAUCCACAUUAAAAACCUGCUCGGGUAAAUACACUGCUUCAUCAAUAAUUUCUCAAAGUGUUUCAGGAAAUUCCCAGGCCAAUACUGUAUCAGCACUCGCUGCCUCACCACUUACUUUUUCAUUGUGAAGGUUCAAGGUUCUGGCCUUGAACCGGUGAAACCAGCCAUGGCGGGCAUUAAAAGAUGAGUCCUCUGAUUCUUUGCCGUGUUUCUUCUUCACAGUUUCAUAAAGGCUUUUAGCUUUCUCUUGAAUCAGCAUUAAGCUGAGCGGGACUCAACGCUGAUGCUGAUCCUGCAUCCACACACUGAGAAGUUUCUCCAUCUCCUCCAUCACUUUUCCAUGCUUCUUUGAUGUUAUUGUCAACAUCACCGGCAUAGCAGGCUUCACAUGUUCCAGGAUCUUGUCCUUGUUCUUUAGAAUCGUGCCAAUGGUUGCACAAUUCAUGUUAUAAGGAUGAGCGAUGUCUACCAUCUUUUUGCCUCGCUCCACUCUCAAUUAUUUUCACUUUUGUUUCCAUCAUUAUUGCUUGGUGCUUCUUAAGUAGUACCAGCUACAUCACCACUGCUUUUAUGCUUGCUUCUGGACAUCCUGGGCUUGAAAUAAAGAUACUGUACUACUGUACUCCAUACAGUACUGUACAGUAAAGUACACAACCACUUGUAGAGGAUGCACUCACGUGACAAUGUACGCCAGACACCUGAACUAACUUACAUGAUUGGACAUGCAAAUGCACGUUUACAUCUUUGAAAGUUCACAACUUGAAGGUUCGUAUGUAGGGGACUUACUGUAUUCAUCAUAUACAAGGGAUUCUUAAUAAUAUUACUUACUUCUUUUCAGAAAUCAUGAAGGCCAGAAUAGAGUAGGAUGACAUUUUCAAAUUUCUGAAAGAAAAAGGCUAUUAACCAUGUCCAGCAAAACUAUCCUUCAAAAAAGAUAGAGAGGGGCUUCCCCGGUGGCGCAGUGGUUGAGAGGCCGCCUGCCGAUGCAGAGUACACGGGUUCGUGUCCCGGUCCGGGAGGAUCCCGCAUGCCGCGGAGCGGCUGGGCCCGUGAGCCAUGGCCGCUGAGCCUGCGCGUCCGGAGCCUGUGCUCCUCAAGGGGGGGGCCACAGCGGUGAGAGGCCCGCGUAGCACAAAAAAAAAAAAAAAAAAAAAAAGGAUAGAGAAAUUUAUAU